rnacentral:rRNA from 1 species
UUCGACACACUAUCAUUAACUGAAUCCAUAGGUUAAUGAGGCGAACCGGGGGAACUGAAACAUCUAAGUACCCCGAGGAAAAGAAAUCAACCGAGAUUCCCCCAGUAGCGGCGAGCGAACGGGGAGGAGCCCAGAGCCUGAAUCAGUGUGUGUGUUAGUGGAAGCGUCUGGAAAGGCGCGCGAUACAGGGUGACAGCCCCGUACACAAAAAUGCACAUGCUGUGAGCUCGAUGAGUAGGGCGGGACACGUGGUAUCCUGUCUGAAUAUGGGGGGACCAUCCUCCAAGGCUAAAUACUCCUGACUGACCGAUAGUGAACCAGUACCGUGAGGGAAAGGCGAAAAGAACCCCGGCGAGGGGAGUGAAAAAGAACCUGAAACCGUGUACGUACAAGCAGUGGGAGCACAGAGCAAUCUGUGUGACUGCGUACCUUUUGUAUAAUGGGUCAGCGACUUAUAUUCUGUAGCAAGGUUAACCGAAUAGGGGAGCCGAAGGGAAACCGAGUCUUA